rnacentral:rRNA from 1 species
AUGCAUGCAACCAAACACGCCCUUUGUGUUUUUUAUGUGGUCAGGAGAGGUAUGCUGACCAUUUUUUUUAUGUGCCUCUUUGAUAUGGCUAUCUACAAUGUGAUUAAGGAGCAGUUUGGUAUUCACUUGCAACGGAAAUAUUUUCGUAAUGAUAAGCAAAGGUUGUUUGACCUUCUUAACCAUAGCAAUGUGGUGCAAAGUGUGGCAGUGAUAUGUUGGCAUAUUUGGGACGCCCGAAAUGAGACGUGGAAUUCGGACUCUAUGGUGAACCCUGAUGUGAUAAUCAAGAAGAUUCAAGCCUGUGUAGAUAUGGUUGCUUUGCAUUGUUUGAAGCCGAAUCAUUCACCAAGGUGUGUAGUUCUGAGGCAAGUUGAGAAACAGACUCCACCGCUUAUUGGCUUGGUUUGCCUGGAUGUUGAUGGACCAAUCUUCACAUCUUCAUUGAGUUCGACGACGAGUGUGGUGAUGCGGGACCAUUUGGGCAGGUGUUUGGUGGGUUGCCGUCAAUCCUUCCAUGUCAGCACAACCUCGAAAAUUACAGAAGCUCUGGCUCUUCAUUGGGUCGUCAUUCUCGUGUUGGAUGAAGAUUGCCUCAGGUUGAUCAAGAAGGCGAGUGCUCCGGAUAGGGAUAGCUUGUUCACAAGUCUUGUUGUUGCUGAUAUCAAACCUUUAGCGAGCAACUUUGUUUCGUUUUCCACUUAUUCAUGUAAGCCAUUGUGCUUUUUAUUUUUAUUUUUUUGCGAGGAAUGUAAGCCAUUGUGCUAA